AUGAGCGGAAGACCGUCACGCAGUUUGAUCUUCGGCUCCCAUCCCAACAUCUUCUUUGCAUUUGUGAUGUCGGGCUUUCUCUGCCUUGGAUCAUCCGGGCAUGCGAGAUGGUAAAUUCGAUCAACCUCAACUAGUAAUUGUUCUGUGAUAUCUGCAAAAGUGUAUACAAUAUACGUCUAUACUCUAAUGAACGAAAAAUCAAAACUACUACAUGUAAUAAAAAAAUACCAUGACGAAUGAGCUCGAAUCUUGGAUGACCGAUCCACUUUUUAAGAUUGUCCUUUGAGCCAGUGAAAUAAUUAUCAGCAACGAUUACCUGAGAUAAUAAGAUACGUAUAAGCAGACGUAAAAUCCAUGUUAUGGCAUAACACUAGAAGAUUCGCUAUUAGGGGUGCAAACGAGCCGAGCUGAGCCCGAGCUUGAUUAAAUUAUGAGAGCUCAAUUAACUUAUGAGAGCUCGGGCUCGAUUCGAGCUUUGUUUUCAAAGCUCGAGCUCGGCUUGUUUGUAUUUUAUCAAGCUCGAGCUCGGCUCGGGCUCGGCUCGUUUAUUAUCUAUUAAUUAGUAUAUUAAAUAAAAAUAAUAUAAAUAAUAGACUUUUUAGGCUUGCGAGCUCGAUAAGUAAAGCUCGGGCUCGGGCUCGUUUACUAAAUAAGCUUAUUUUUAGGUUUGAAGUCGGCUUGUAAACAAGUUUAAAUAAGCUCGGCUCGACUCAGCUCGUUUACACUAAGGCUCGAUAAGGCUCGACGAGCCUAACGAGCUUCACAUGUGAGGCUCGAGCUCGGGCUCGAUAAACAAACGAGCUUUGUUUGAGGCUCAAGCUCGGCUCGGGCUCAAUAAGGCUCGGCUCGUUUCGAGCUUUUUCUCGAGCCGAUCUCGAGUCGUUUGCACCCCUAUUCGCUAUAAACAUUUCAACGGUAUUAAGAUUAAUGACAUCCAAACCUCAUUCUUUUCAUUUUCCAUCAGUUUAUCGACGAGGUGAGAGCCGAUAAAUCCAGCACCGCCAGUAACCAAUAUCCUCAUAUUUGACUGCAAAAUUUGGAGUUACGCAGCGGAGAAGGGGUCGGAGGUGGUUUCGUAGCUUUAUGUUCUCCAUUCGAUGCAUUACUCGCCAUUGUCAAAAGCCGAUUUCUGCAACAAAGGUUACAAGAAAUGAGUAUAGCUAAUAACACUUGAUAAAAUGGCUUAUAUCAUGUGAAAACUGAACUAAUAGUAAUACCCACACAAUGAUUUAAAAUUCAAGCAACAACACAAGACUAAUAAGUAAUAACUCCAACUCAAUACUCAACAAUUCAACUGAAGAUGACAUUGAUAAUAGUAAAAAGAGUUAAAUGCCAUUUUAGUCCCUGUGGUUUGGGCCAUU
rnacentral:lncRNA from 1 species